rnacentral:rRNA from 1 species
UGCCGCGUGUGUGAAGAAGGCCUUCGGGUUGUAAAGCACUUUCAGUUGUGAGGAAAGGUUGGUAGUUAAUACCUGCCAGCUGUGACGUUAACAACAGAAGAAGCACCGGCUAACUCCGUGCCAGCAGCCGCGGUAAUACGGAGGGUGCGAGCGUUAAUCGGAAUUACUGGGCGUAAAGCGCACGCAGGCGGUUUGUUAAGCUAGAUGUGAAAGCCCCGGGCUCAACCUGGGAUGGUCAUUUAGAACUGGCAGACUAGAGUCUUGGAGAGGGGAGUGGAAUUCCAGGUGUAGCGGUGAAAUGCGUAGAUAUCUGGAGGAACAUCAGUGGCGAAGGCGGCUCCCUGGCCAAAGACUGACGCUCAUGUGCGAAAGUGUGGGUAGCGAACAGGAUUAGAUACCCUGGUAGUCCACACCGUAAACGCUGUCUACUAGCUGUUUGUGNAUUUAAUCCGUGAGUAGCGAAGCUAACGCGCUAAGUAGACCGCCUGGGGAGUACGGCCGCAAGGUUAAAACUCA